rnacentral:lncRNA from 1 species
GAAUCUAACGCCUGAUGACCUAUCACUGUCUCCCAUCACUCCCAGAUGGGACCGUCUAGUUGCAGGAAAACAAGCUCAGGGCUCCCACUGAUUCUACAUUAUGAUCAACUGCAUGGGGUCCUACAGGAGAAGACCAAGAGACAGAGACAGAGACCAGGGAAAAUGACCGAUACCAUUCCUUCUCAGGGAUGCUACACACCCAUGGGGCAGAGGAUAAGAGGUUCCUGAAGGCAUCACCCCUCUGGCCAUGGCUGGUGUGCAGACAAAGCUGGAGAUUUGGAGUAGCCUGUUGUCCCACUGACUCUUAGACUGCCCCAGCUAAGAAGAACCAACUCCUCCUAUUACAGAUGAAAUAAACAAAGCUACUCAAGCUCUCUGGCAUCGCCCUGACGGUCAUCAUGUGCUUCACAUUUCCCUCCUGCCCCCCCUGAUUUUCUGGAAAAGGGAGAAACACACCAAAGAGAGUUCUAGAAAAAAUGAGAAUAAGAAAUUUACCUGUAAUCCUUGCUCAAGAAACUGAAGCUCUGAGGCCACAUUGUUCCAGCCUUUUGCAGCUCCUGCAUGUGGAUACCAGCACCAGCAGCUCCCCGACCAGGGGCCCCAGCUAAGCCCUCCCAGAGGAUGAUCUUGGCUUUGUACAUGGGGUGUCAAUAUCCUGUGAGUCCAACAGAGGGAAGACAUAAGAAUAUGGUCACCCAGGUAAGUGGUGGAUAGCUGAGUGACUGUAUUCUUGCUCACCACCACCCCCAUCAGAGGGGGUGUCUUUGUUUCUAGUUGGGGGAAGCUUUGGUAGACUGUCAGUAAUUCCUCCCUGUGUCCCCCAUCCUGUGUCAGGUAACAGACAUUUGUCUUAAUGUAUUCACUGUGUCAUCAGAAGCCACUUCUUAUC